rnacentral:tRNA from 1 species
GCCCUUGUAACGCAAAUGGAUAGAGUACUGAUUUCCUAAAUCAGCGGUUCCCGGUUCGAGUCCGGGCAAGGGUA